rnacentral:misc_RNA from 1 species
GCUAUGACAGGAGAUGGAGUGAAUGAUGCACCUGCCUUAAAGUUGGCUGAUAUUGGCAUAGCAAUGGGCAUUGCUGGGACAGAGGUAUGUCUACUUUGUUGCAUGCAUUAUGAUGGACAUCAUACAGUUAAAAAAGGUGCUCAUACGUUCUCACAAAUACAUGUCGGCCUACUUUUAUUAAGUGCAAUCACAUGGCUUCUUCUCGAGUUACUACUUGAUGUUGCAUGUGUGGAACAUAUAUUAAGUUUUAAGUGAGCACUAUUAAUUUGCAUCUUUCCAAUACCCAUUAUGAUAUAGAUAUAGGAGUUUAACUUACAAAUGUGUGUAUCUAUUGCAUAACUAUGCUAGUUUAGUUGACUGUUCUGCUCAAUGCAAUUCAAUGCUGCAUUCUUUUCUUAUUCUUUAUAUUAAACGUUUUUGAGCACUACUCUCAUUCCAGGUUGCCAAAGAAG